CCUACGGGUGGCAGCAGUGAGGAAUAUUGGUCAAUGGGCGCGAGCCUGAACCAGCCAAGUAGCGUGCAGGAUGACUGCCCUACGGGUUGUAAACUGCUUUUAUACAGGAAUAAAGCGCCUUACGUGUGCCUCUUUGCAUGUACCUUAUGAAUAAGGACCGGCUAAUUCCGUGCCAGCAGCCGCGGUAAUACGGAGGGUCCGGGCGUUAUCCGGAUUUAUUGGGUUUAAAGGGAGCGUAGACCGGAUGUUAAGUCUGUUGUGAAAGGUUGCGGCUCAACCGUAGAAUUGCAAUUGGUACUGGCAGGCUUGAGUACAGUGAAGGUAGGCGGAAUUCGUGGUGUAGCGGUGAAAUGCUUAGAUAUCACGAAGAACUCCGAUUGCGAAGGCAGCUUGCUGAAGUGCCACUGACGUUGAUGCUCGAAAGUGUGGGUAUCGAACAGGAUUAGAUACCCCAGUAGUC
rnacentral:rRNA from 1 species